rnacentral:tRNA from 1 species
GGCUUUAUAGUCAAAGUUAUGAUGUUAGAUUGCAAAUCUAGAGUUAUUUAAAUAAUUAAAGCCU